ACAUAUACCUAUAUGUGACUAUUUGGAAACUGUUGUACAAUUAGCUGUGUGACGAAACGAAUCAUUGUUUUGAUGUGAUCGAUAUAGCAGUGUCACAUAUCCGAGAAUCUUGCUGCAGAAAUCGAUGAUUGUGUGACCAUACUAUAGGGACUGUGUCGUCUGUCAGUAUAGCUCACCACGGUAGUCCGUACUGGAGACGUAGGGACGGGCAGUGAUUUAUAGCGAGUACCAGCGAUCAGCUGACUGCCUGUUACAGACGGAAGAACACGUUUAUGACCCCCGGGUAGCCGAUCAGGACGUCAGUACCAGGCCUGCCCGAGAGAUGCCAGCCUGACGGAUCAGUGUGUGUGUGUGAUCUGAUGAUAACUACACAACAACCGCCGUACAUUCUAUACUGUUUAAAGACUCGUGACCCAUGGUUAAUUAUGUCUUAACAGGAUUACUGACUGUAAGAAUUCUAGUCUGGAGAUGUUGACUGGAAUUAUUUUAAUCUCAUGGCUGUGUUUUUUACCAGGUAUGUUCUAGUUUUCGGAUUAUCACGAUGUUAGCCAUGUUAUCAGAGCCACUCCGUAAUUAACUACCUUAAAAUAGUUCCCGGAGAUCAAUAGAAAACUAGAGUAGAUCGAGUGUGUCAGAAACCACCCCCCCCCUUUUUUCGAGGGGGUUGAGGUGGUGGUUCUAAAACAAGAUGAAUUUGGCGAGGAAAUUUCGUUACGGUUACUGAGUUGGAUGAUGAAUUGUUGGUAUUGGUAUUAUUUUGUAUUCAUGACUCAUAAACUUGUUUAUCAUGAACAGCCAGUGAUCUUGAAGGUGCACGAGAAUGAAUAAACAAUUAUAUAGUCUGU
rnacentral:misc_RNA from 1 species